AGGACCUCUACCUCUGGUCAGCACGCGGGACGCUUCCCAGAAGAGUGCGCGCAGCGGCAGCGCAGGUCGCCAUCCAGGCCCGAGUCUCGAGAGGCAAAGCCGGGCGCAGGGCCGGUCUCUGCGCUUCUGCGCUGGAGCAGCAGCUGCCAAGCCCGAGGCUCCUCCGCACGGGUCGGGUUGGGCCGGAUGGGAGGAACAAGUCAACAAGCUCGGAGCCGGAGCCGAGCUGGGGAGCCUUUGCUCCUUCCUGUCCUCCACAACUUGCUCCGGAAAGGAGCCCGGGGAAUCGAUUCACCAUAAAUUCUCCAUUGGGUUCUCCUGACCUGGCUUUCCUGCCCACGGAAGGGUAGCGCUAGCCGAGAGGGGGGCGGAAGGGUGUUUUCUACAGGGGCGGCUUGACUGGCCGGUGCAAGGUGGACUGGCCGAACAGAGUCAAUUGCAGAGCUGGGGGAAUACGGAAGAAAGGGGGGGGGGGCUGGUGUAGAGCAGGAGAAGCUACAGUCUCUGUCACUUGGGGCACAGGUGAAUGGGAAGAUGACAUUGUCAAGGCUUACAACCCAGGAUCUGACCUCCUUCUGUUGGAAGGAGGGGAAAACAACAUGCAGAAUUAAAGUUUCCUGCAGCAAAACGUGUGUGUGGGCGCAGGGGGGGUGGGGUGGGGAGAUGCCUUCAUAAAACCUAGGAGACUCUCAGAAGACCACCGCUGCCUUUCCUUGCCCUUCCUAGCCCACCAGCUUAGGGGCUGAGUUAACCCCACUUGCCCUUGAGUCCAUGCCCCUGGCAGAGUUCAGGAUUCCAUGGGGAUGCUGUUGAGCUGCUGAGCCCUCUGAGCAGCAGUGUCUCAUUGAGGCAUGUGUCUCUGGACAUCUUGGUGGGUAUUGCAUCAGGGGUGAAACCUGGGCUUGCCUGAUGGUCUGCGGGCUGUUCUGCCAGAUUGGGGGUGUGAUGGUCUGCAUUUGGGGUGUCGCUUCAUGGGAGUGUUGAUGGUGAGCUGUCCCCCAUUAUUACUGCGGGCUCCAGGCUUUAUGCGUGCAGGUGUCUGCUGGGCUGUGUGCAGUUGGUGAGUCCCUGGGUGACUUUGGGAUAGGGGCAGGGG
rnacentral:lncRNA from 1 species